GGCAGGAUAGUUUUCCCAGAUGCAGGGAGCUGGGAGGAAACAGGUCAAAAGCAGCAGGGUUAUAUCCUGCGUGUUGUUUUGGACACGAAGACCAAUGGUAAUAACCAGGAAGAAGAACCUGUACGCAGAGCACACUGAAAUAGCCACUUAGUGACUUUCUUUGCCAGCCUGGAUUUUACUUAUGUGGACUCUCAGUGGGCAGAAAUACCAGCAUCAAGACAGUUGCAGACUAGCAUAGCAGCUCCUGUUGACAGCAUGACCUAACUCUUUGCAGAAGGCAGCGGCCAUAGCAGAUGGCGCGGUGACCACCUGGCAUAUUUGUAGUCAGAAACUGGGAGAGUCUAAUUCUGUGGUCAAGAUUUUUCAGCUUAAAUUUGGGAGUCUGGGUCCUGUGCGCCAAGCCAAGGGAUCAAAACACAUUCUGAUGAAAAGCCUUCCAGAGUCAGCACACUCAAGGAGUUCCACUGAGGCCGGGACCAGUAAAUAACACCAACCCCAAGGAGUCACAUGAGGCGUGUGAUUGCGUCUUCCAGGUGGAUGCCAUCCUGCCUUCCAGCUUGUGCACAAUUCAGACAUCUUUUACAGAGCAUUUUCUCAUACAAGUCUUGACCCAAUGCCUAUUACUCGGAUGUGAUGCUCCUCAUUUCACAAGUGAGAAAGCGAAGCCCAGAAAGAGGGGUCCGGACUCACCUGGAGGACUGGGCCACCUGGAGGAGGGAGAAUGAAGAAUCUGUGGAGCUCAGUGUGAAAUAAAAACGCGAGGCCCUUUGUUGAAAACUGGAGA
ensembl:lncRNA